rnacentral:rRNA from 1 species
UACGGGAGGCAGCAGGGGGGAAUAUUGCACAAUGGGCGAAAGCCUGAUGCAGCUAUGCCGCGUGUAUGAAGAAGGCCUUAGGGUUGUAAAGUACUUUCAUCGGGGAGGAAAAAACAAAACUAAUAAUUUUAUUUCUUGACGUUACCCGAAAAAGAAGCACCGGCUAACUCCGUGCCAGCAGCCGCGGUAAUACGGAGGGUGCUAGCGUUAAUCAGAAUUACUGGGCGUAAAGAGCACGUAGGUGGUUUUUUUAAGUCAGAUGUGAAAUCCCUGGGCUUAACCUAGGAACUGCAUUUUGAAACUGAAAUACUAGAGUAUCGUAGAGGGAGGUAGAAUUCUAGGUGUAGCGGUGAAAUGCGUAGAUAUCUGGAGGAAUACCUGUGGCGAAAGCGGCCUCCUAAACGAAUACUGACACUGAGGGUGCGAAAAGCGUGGGGAGCAAACAGGGAUUAGAUACC